rnacentral:rRNA from 1 species
AUGAACGCUGGCGGCGUGCUUAACACAUGCAAGUCGAACGAAGCAUUUAAGACAGAUUACCUCGGUUUGAAGUCUUUUAUGACUGAGUGGCGGACGGGUGAGUAACGCGUGGGUAACCUGCCUCAUACAGGGGGAUAGCAGCUGGAAACGGCUGGUAAUACCGCAUAAGCGCACAGUACCACAUGGUACAGUGUGAAAAACUCCGGUGGUAUGAGAUGGACCCGCGUCUGAUUAGCUUGUUGGCGGGGUAACGGCCCACCAAGGCGACGAUCAGUAGCCGACCUGAGAGGGUGACCGGCCACAUUGGGACUGAGACACGGCCCAGACUCCUACGGGAGGCAGCAGUGGGGAAUAUUGCACAAUGGAGGAAACUCUGAUGCAGCGACGCCGCGUGAGUGAAGAAGUAGUUCGCUAUGUAAAGCUCUAUCAGCAGGGAAGAUAGUGACGGUACCUGACUAAGAAGCUCCGGCUAAAUACGUG